GAAAGUGGAGGGAGAGCUCAACAUGCAUCCUAAUAGGGAGGUCUGAAGAAAAAAUGAAUAUCAGGAUAAAUUUGCUGGUGUCUGAGGACCAACAAACCUUCCCAUGGAUGUGUGGAUAUUCAGACAGCCUGUUGCCAGUCUCACCAGCACACAAGGUUUAUGAAUAGCCCAGAAGAUACCUCACCAACCCUUCCAGACACAAAUACACCUUGCAGGAAGGGGCUCUGUGCGUUCUCACAUCAGGAAUAAUAUUUCUGUGGACCCCAUAGGAUGUGAGGCCCCAGCCUACUGCUACCCAAGGCUUCCGACGCUGGCAACUUUCUGCUGUAUGUAAGUAGAUUUUGUCUCUUCCCUUCCUGCCUUUGUUUUCCAUGAGGAGCUGAGGACCUCGAUCCUGCUGAGCUGUGACUGCGUGGCAAGGCUGGCGCUGCCCUGCUUCUUCAGGGAUGUCCUCACGUGAUAAUUUGCUGAGUGUGGCCAUGGGACAGAGGUGAAUCCUGCACUUCCAGAUGCAUGGGGAUGCUCGGUCUAGAAUUGCCAGCAGCUGCGAUCAGGCUGUGCUGGCACAGAAGCAC